rnacentral:piRNA from 1 species
UCGCUUUUAGAUAUACUUCUUCUGCUGC